ensembl:lncRNA
UCCACAGCUGAGGACACAAAGUAAUAAUUGUCACUCAGCAAAAUUAUCGCACAAAAGAACAGCAAGUCAUUCAUUUCCACAUGAAAAAGCACAAAAAUAGGAUUUCUGAAAGACUGAUUGGAAGAUUAAAGAUCAGAAGGUUAGCAUUAAAGUUUGUGCCUAAAGGAUGCUACCCUCAUGGAAAUCAACACAAAGAAAUUGUUAAAUAAUCACACAUUUCAGAUUGGUUCCCAUGUGGAAGACAUUUCCAAGGUGUCAGUGCCUGGAAAACCUGAUGGUUUCGCUGAAUACUGAAGUGAAACUUGAAAGCAAAACCCAAGGACAGAUUAACACUUGGAAGUAUAAAAUUCAGGUAGUAAUGAGAAGCCAGGUGUGCACUUUCAAGGAUUCCAAGUUUCCGUAAUUAUGGAUUCACUAGCACUCUCUCCAAAAACAGAAUAUCACCCCUUUGGAGGUUUAAUGAAAUCAUAACUUUUUAAAUGAAAGAACAAAGAAACGAGAAGACUGCGGGAAACAGAUUUACAGAGAGCGAGUCCCUUUUCUCAUCAAUCAAGCUAUAUACAGAAUGUAGUCACCACUUCUUGUGGUGCCAAGGUGUUCCUAUAAGGUCUCCUAUCCAAAUACUGUCCCAGCCUGGCUUGCUACGUAUGAGUUUUGAUGAGAUCACACAGCAUAAGGUGGUGCAGUAGCAAAGACUUUGCAAUUUUUUUUGAGAGGGGAUUAUAAAGCAUCUUGAUGUGCAGUAUGUGAAAGGUGCUAUAUAUAAGCAGUUUGUCUUCCUACUGCUGUGACUCAUUUCUCACUCAUCUGUAAAGCCAGUGAUGAUUGUAGGUGAAGGCUGAAUUACUCUGCUACUGCUGGUUCCAAUACACCUUUUCAUGGAUUCAUAGAUUCCAGGGCCAGAAGAGACCAUCAUGAUCAUAUAAUCUGUCCUACUGCAACAUAACACAGGUCAUAGAACGGCUGAAAAUAAUUCCUAGAACAUAUAGUUUAGAAAGAAACAUCCAAUCAUGAUUUUAAAAGUGUUUGUGCGGGAGAAUCCACCAUGAGCCUUGGUAAAUUGUUCCACUGGUUAAUUACUCUGUUAAAAAAUUAUGCUAUAUUUCCAGUCUGAAUUUGUCUAGCUUCAACCUCCAGCCAUUGCAAUGUGUAAUACAUUUCUCUGCUACAUUAAGGAACCCAUCUUUAAAUAUUUGGAGCUCAAUAUUUAGUUUCCAGCUAUCUGAUGAGUUCUGUGAAUGGUCUGAAGAGACACUCAUUAAAACACCAAUCAAAGACAGUAUCCUUGUAAUUGGAGGCAUGAAUGUGAACAUUGGAACUGCAAGCAUGCAUAAAGAAUUAACGGGAAACAAAGGUCUCGGUUUACAAAUGAGAGAAGAAGGUGUUUAAUAGAAUUCUGCUACUUCAAUAAUCUGGUCAUCACAAGUACCAUCUUCAUCCAGCAUCCUAACUGUUUAAAUUCACUGAGGUCACCUGAUGGCAUGACAAAGAAGAAAAUCAACUAUGUCAUGAUACAAUGAUGCUGGAGCUUAAGUGUCCCAUGGACAAAGACUUUCCCAAGUAAGGAUUGUAGAUCAGACCAACUGUUAGCCUCCAACAUCAAAUUAAAUUUAAAAAGAUACUAUGUUCAACAGGUCCAUUGCAGCUGGACCUGUGCAAAAUCAACAAAAACAACAUGACUUCUGUAAAGAAUGGGCUUGAGUCAUUGUCACAGGUGAAAGAGGAGAACAACCCAAACAAAUCUGGGAAUAAAAUGAAAGCUAUCAUGCUCGAAACCA